UUGCACGCUGGCGGCAGGCCUAACACAUGCCAGUCGAACGGUAACAGGAAGAAGCUUGCUUCUUUGCUGACGAGUGGCGGACGGGUGAGUAAUGUCUGGGAAACUGCCUGAUGGAGGGGGAUAACUACUGGAAACGGUAGCUAAUACCGCAUAACGUCGCAAGACCAAAGAGGGGGACCUUCGGGCCUCUUGCCAUCGGAUGUGCCCAGAUGGGAUUAGCUAGUAGGUGGGGUAACGGCUCACCUAGGCGACGAUCCCUAGCUGGUCUGAGAGGAUGACCAGCCACACUGGAACUGAGACACGGUCCAGACUCCUACGGGAGGCAGCAGUGGGGAAUAUUGCACAAGGGGCGCAAGCCUGAUGCAGCCAUGCCGCGUGUAUGAAGAAGGCCUGCGGGUUGUAAAGUACUUUCAGCGGGGAGGAAGGGAGUAAAGUUAAUACCUGUACUCAUGGACGUUACCCGCAGAAGAAGCACCGGCGAACUCCGG
rnacentral:rRNA from 1 species